AUCCCUCUAGGAACAUCCUUAUGAUAGCAGGGCAUGAACCUGUGUGGGCACAAAAGGCAGCAGGGGAUGGAGCUGCAGCUCAAUGAGCAGAGUUCCUGGAUCUCAGCCCCACUCACCUCUUCAGCUUGGUGUCCUUUAUGCAGUGUGCAAACUGCACAACCUUCCACAGAGACUGCUCAUCAUGCUGCCUGCCUGUCUGCAGAUCCCAUUCACUCUUGAAAGAAAACAAGACUUGAUUUCAUGGAAUCAUCUCAUUGAGAAAGACCAUAAAUAAAACUAGGGGAAGGGAGAAUAUUUUGCUUCCUUUCUGACUACAAAACUCCCGUCUUUCUAGCUCAUUGUUCUAGUACUGCAACUUCAACCAUCUUUCCACCCUAUUGGGACCCCCAAUCUAUUGAUCUCAUGGCAUUUUUAUUGUCCUUCACCUCUCAUAAGUCUUAUCUCCUUACCCUGCUUAAAUUCCAAGUAACUCACUAUAAUCAUUCCUCCGUAUAUAUCCUCAAUACUCUUGCCUCCCUACAUUGCUUUUUCCUACUGAUUUAGCAGAGCCACAACCCUGUUUAAAUUCAACAUUCCCUCCUUUGUGUGUGUACCUAUGUGACCAAACUGUGGCUGGAGAAAUACCAUCCACUGACAGCCCACUUCAGAUUCAUGACCACCAACCUCAAGUGGUCUUUAAUGCUACAGUCAUACUAACAUUCUCCAGCCAUUCACUCCCCCUCUCUGCUGACUGUUACACCUUCUCUGUCCUCAGGAAAAUGAAGCUAUUGGAAAAGAACUUCCACCAGGUGA